UUACAAAUCCUAACCCUAACUCCCCUUUCCCCUUUAACCUAACUAACACACAACACAGAAAACAGAGGAAAGAGAGAGGGUUAGAGGGAGAGCUGCGCCAGGAGAAGGAAGAGAGGAGAAGGGGGGAUGUCGCCGACGGAAAAGGGGACUGCUGCCGUUAUCGUCGAGGGGGAGAGAGCUGCCAUUGCAUCUUCUGCAGGCUCACCAUCGUCGCCAUCGUGGAGCCACGAGGAGGCCGCCGUCACCAGUGCGAGCUCGCAGGGGGAGAGAGGGAGCCCACGAAGUCGCUGCUGAGCCGCCAUUGAUGCGAGGAACAGAACACGCGAGACGGGUUUGAGACUGCGCUGUUAGCGUCACCGUCACCGUCGUUCUGUUCUGCCACUGCUACCAUUGAAGCUUGUCGGAAGUCGCCGCUAAAGCUGCUGUCACCCUAUUGCCCUGUU